CUAUUUUGUUGGUUUUCGGAAUCCAAGGUAAUGAUCAAUAAGGACAGGCGGGGGCAUUCGUAUUGCGACGUUAGAGGUGAAAUUCUUGGAUCGUCGCAAGACGCACUAGAGCGAAAGCAUUUGCCAAGUAUGUCUUAAUUGAUCAAGAACGAAAGUUAGAGGUGCGAAGGCGAUCAGAUACCGCCCUAGUUCUAACCAUAAACGAUGCCAGCCAGCGAUCCGCCGACGUUCCUCCGAUGACUCGGCGGGGAGCUUUCCCCGGGAAACCAAAAGCUUUUGGGUUCCGGGGGAAGUAUGGUUGCAAAGCUGAAACUUAAAGGAAUUGACGGAAGGGCACCACCAGGAGUGGGGCCUGCGGCUUAAUUUGACUCAACACGGGAAACCUCACCA
rnacentral:rRNA from 1 species